GCUAAACUAAAACUGUCUACUAUUCGUCGUUUAGCGUUCUGCGCAUGCGCAGUGACGACCCGCUAUUUUAUAGCGUACGCAGUGGUAUAGCGUAUGCUAAACUAAAACUGUCUAUUGUCUCGUUUCGCGCAGCGCACGAGGCAGACAAGCGAGGCAGACAAGCGGAUCACAGAGCAUAAACCCGCGCUGGAACACAGUUGGAAAUGAUGUAGUUCUGGUGUCUGCGACCACAACAGCACGACGUGGGAACAAGCAGACGAAACGGAAGUGCAUCUCUCUUCUUGCGGUCGAGUGGCUGCUGUUACUACAGGAGACAAGCCCCUCGAAGACAUUUGCUGCCGGGGGAAGAUGGCUUCCCAAGUGGAGGACGGCUUUAGAAUUUCUUCCUGUAUUCAAAAACUUUUGCCCUUC